CAAGGUGUAGAAUAUUGCAUAUUCUAUGUUUCUAUUGAUUAUAUAUGGAUGUCUGGAUUGGCAUAAGUAACAGAUGGUAUCAAUAAGUCACAAGGUUUUCUUGUAUGAGAGCUCUGGAAUGUAAGUUAGGGGUUUUGUCCUUAUAUGGCUUGAGUUAUGCUCUGACGUCAGUAUGGGCACUUCUAUAUAGUAACUGAACAAAUGGACACGAGGUCUCUUGGCUCUCUUUCCUGUACGAGAUGUAACUCUCCCAUCAGAAAUUACCAUCUGCUGUUGAACAUCUGUUAUCCUGUAACAUCAUUUGUUGUUUUAUUAUGUAUCAGUAACUAAGAAUAAACCUG